CUGCAAAAGCAAAACUGAAAUAAGAAACUGUGUCUAAUCAUUUUAAAGUUGAACUGAAAUGGCAAAAAGUAAAAUGAAAAGACAUAGCCUUUGUAACCAUCCUUCUCCCUUCUUCUCUUCUGUUAAAAAUAAAACUCCUGUAUCAGCUAAUCAAGAGACCCAUUUUCUCCCAGUAUCAACCCUUCAAGAACCACUGCCUCUUUUAGAAUCUCGAGUUCGUCGGGCAAACAAUCACCACACAGCUCGGACUCUACCUCUCUAUCUCCCCGCCAGAAGUGCCAUUUCUUCUCUCUUGAUUCACCAGGAUCUCCACCGUAUACGGUGCCUCCUCUAUCUAGAAUCGAGGAUGCUCGUAACGCCCUCCUUCUUUCGCCAUCGCAUGAGCAACUUUGUUGGCUUCCCUUGCUUGCGUAUUAUGGUUAGCGCAUCACCUUCUAUGCAGAUGCCCUAGAACCCCAUAUCUUCUGCCAUAACAAUAGAUUGUAGACACGCCCUUGCCUCAGCCAUCACUUGGUCUGAAAUGUAUUCCUAUGGGUAGGAACAAGCUGCCAUUAUUAAACCUUCCUUGUUUCGUGCUAUGAUUCCUGAGAUAGAACAUCUUGUUUUUUGAUUAAAGGAAGCGUCAAAAUUAAUUUUUAUGGUGACAUUGUCUGGUGGUUCCCAAGCUGAAUGUCUAACAUCACAUGUGCCCUAUAAUCUCUCCCCCAAAAUAGUUGUUUCCGCAUAGUAGGCCUUAAUAAAUCCCACAACUUCAUGUGCUUGCUCUCGCAUCCCCUCAUGAUAAAGUUUGUUACGAUUAUACCAUAUUGCCCAAUAUGCUAUAGAUCUGAUUUUACAUGCUUCUAUGCUCUGGUUUACAAAUUCUGCUGCUAACCAAUUUUUCCAACUGGACUCUCUAUUACAUGUUGAGACUGUUACUCCUACACCCCACAAAACUUGCUGCGUGAAAGUGCAUACUCUAAAGAGAUGGUCCACCGAUUCCUCCUCCAUUUGGCACACCGGGCAUAAUGUGUUGACAACCAAACUACGAACUCUUAGAUUAUGUAAAGUAGGUAGAUAGUCAUGAGCAAUUCUCCAUAUAAGAAUGCGUAUUUUACUUGGGAUCUUGAGUUCCCAAAGUCUUGUAAAGAAAAUAGUAAGUAUUUCAUUAUUUGUUCUUGUACCCCCUCUGUAAGAAGCCAUCUGUAGCCAUUUUUUGCUGUGUAUAUCCCGGUAUUGUCACCUCGCCACACUGGUACAUCCUAUAGACUGUUGCUCACCAAAAGAAUUGAGAGAAUGUUUUUCAGCUGAUCCUCUCCAAAUAACGUGCGUAUAAUUUCUUGCUUCCAGGUCCAGAAAGCCACCUAUCAUUCCAAAUAUUGACUAAUUCUCCAUUACCAAUUCGCCAUCCCAUCCCUUCCUCGAGAAAAUGUCUGGCUCCCCAAAUACUGUGCCAGCUAUACGAAGGGUAAGAGUCUAUCGUUGCACUCAUAAAAUCCCCUUUCGGGAAGUACUUAGCUUUCAUUACACGCGCAAACAAACAAUCGGGUUGCUUAAUAAGUUUUCACCCUUGCUUCAUUAACAGGACCAUAUUGAAUUUUGACAGAUCUUUAAACCCUAACCCUCCCUUCGCUUUGGGGAUGCUCAAUUCACUCUAUUUGCACCAAUGAAUACCUUUAUUUGUUUUUGAAUUACGCCACCAAAAUUUACUCAUUAAAUUCUCGAGUUCUUGACAAAAUAAGAUCGAUAACUUAAAACAUUACAAUGCGUAGACCGGUAUUGCUUGUAAAAUAGAUUUUAAAAAU